GACUCCGUAGCUCAGUCGGUAGAGCAAUUGACUCUUAAUCAAUGGGUCGAGGGUUCGAAUCCCUCCGGGGUUA
rnacentral:tRNA from 1 species